rnacentral:rRNA from 1 species
UACGUAGGGUGCAAGCGUUGUCCGGAAUUAUUGGGCGUAAAGAGCUCGUAGGCGGUUCGUCGCGUCGGCUGUGAAAACCUGAGGCUCAACCUCAGGCCUGCAGUCGAUACGGGCGGACUUGAGUACUGCAGGGGAGACUGGAAUCCCUGGUGUAGCGGUGAAAUGCGCAGAUAUCAGGAGGAACACCGGUGGCGAAGGCGGGUCUCUGGGCAGUAACUGACGCUGAGGAGCGAAAGCGUGGGGAGCGAACAGG